GUAGGUGGCAAGCGUUGUCCGGAAUUAUUGGGCGUAAAGCGCGCGCAGGCGGUUCUUUAAGUCUGAUGUGAAAGCCCACGGCUCAACCGUGGAGGGUCAUUGGAAACUGGAGAACUUGAGUACAGAAGAGGUAAGCGGAAUUCCACGUGUAGCGGUGAAAUGCGUAGAGAUGUGGAGGAACACCAGUGGCGAAGGCGGCUUUCUGGUCUGUAACUGACGCUGAGGCGCGAAAGCGUGGGGAGCAAACAGGAUUAGAUACCCUGGUAGUCCACGCCGUAAACGAUGAGUGCUAAGUGUUAGGGGGUUUCCGCCCCCCUUAGUGCUGCAGCUAACGCAUUAAGCACUCCGCCUGGGAGUACGGCCGCAAGGCUG
rnacentral:rRNA from 1 species